rnacentral:rRNA from 1 species
UGAGACAGGUGCUGCAUGGCUGUCGUCAGCUCGUGUUGUGAAAUGUUGGGUUAAGUCCCGCAACGAGCGCAACCCUUAUCCUUUGUUGCCAGCGGUUCGGCCGGGAACUCAAAGGAGACUGCCAGUGAUAAACUGGAGGAAGGUGGGGAUGACGUCAAGUCAUCAUGGCCCUUACGAGUAGGGCUACACACGUGCUACAAUGGCAUAUACAAAGAGAAGCGACCU